GAUGAACGCUGGCGGCGUGCCUAAUACAUGCAAGUCGAGCGAACAGAUGAGGAGCUUGCUCCUCUGACGUUAGCGGCGGACGGGUGAGUAACACGUGGAUAACCUACCUAUAAGACUGGGAUAACUUCGGGAAACCGGAGCUAAUACCGGAUAAUAUAUUGAACCGCAUGGUUCAAUAGUGAAAGACGGUUUUGCUGUCACUUAUAGAUGGAUCCGCGCCGCAUUAGCUAGUUGGUAAGGUAACGGCUUACCAAGGCAACGAUGCGUAGCCGACCUGAGAGGGUGAUCGGCCACACUGGAACUGAGACACGGUCCAGACUCCUACGGGAGGCAGCAGUAGGGAAUCUUCCGCAACGGGCGAAAGCCUGACGGAGCAACGCCGCGUGAGUGAUGAAGGUCUUCGGAUCGUAAAACUCUGUUAUUAGGGAAGAACAAAUGUGUAAGUAACUAUGCACGUCUUGACGGUACAUAAUCAGAAAGCCGCGGCUAACUACGUG
rnacentral:rRNA from 1 species